GCGAACCGGGGGAACUGAAACAUCUAAGUACCCCGAGGAAAAGAAAUCAACCGAGAUUCCCCCAGUAGCGGCGAGCGAACGGGGAGGAGCCCAGAGCCUGAAUCAGCAUGUGUGUUAGUGGAAGCGUCUGGAAAGGCGCGCGAUACAGGGUGACAGCCCCGUACACAAAAGCGCAUGUGCUGUGAGCUCGAUGAGUAGGGCGGGACACGUGGUAUCCUGUCUGAAUAUGGGGGGACCAUCCUCCAAGGCUAAAUACUCCUGACUGACCGAUAGUGAACCAGUACCGUGAGGGAAAGGCGAAAAGAACCCCGGCGAGGGGAGUGAAAAAGAACCUGAAACCGUGUACGUACAAGCAGUGGGAGCCCCACCACCAAAGCAUUCUCUGGUGUUGAAGGCCCUGCAAAGCAGCAUCGCGGUGGCGGAGCGUCGUUUGCGACGCCCAACACACAAAACAAGCGGUGAGUGCUUUGGGGUGGGGUGACUGCGUACCUUUUGUAUAAUGGGUCAGCGACUUAUAUUCUGUAGCAAGGUUAACCGAAUAGGGGAGCCGGAGGGAAACCGAGUCUUAAUUGGGCGUUAAGUUGCAGGGUAUAGACCCGAAACCCGGUGAUCUAGCCAUGGGCAGGUUGAAGGUUGGGUAACACUAACUGGAGGACCGAACCGACUAAUGUUGAAAAAUUAGCGGAUGACCUGUGGCUGGGGGUGAAAGGCCAAUCAAACCGGGAGAUAGCUGGUUCUCCCCGAAAGCUAUUUAGGUAGCGCCUCGUGAAUUCAUCUCCGGGGGUAGAGCACUGUUUCGGCUAGGGG
rnacentral:rRNA from 1 species